GACGAACGCUGGCGGCGUGCUUAACACAUGCAAGUCGAACGGAAAGGGCCUGCUGUUGUGGGGUGCUCGAGUGGCGAACGGGUGAGUAACACGUGAGUAACCUGCCCCUGACUUUGGGAUAACUUCAGGAAAAUGGGGCUAAUACCGGAUAGGAGCUCCUGCUGCAUGGUGGGGGGUGGAAAGGUUCGGCGGUUGGGGAUGGACUCGCGGCUUAUCAGCUUGUUGGUGGGGUAGUGGCUUACCAAGGCUUUGACGGGUAGCCGGCCUGAGAGGGUGACCGGCCACAUUGGGACUGAGAUACGGCCCAGACUCCUACGGGAGGCAGCAGUGGGGAAUAUUGCACAAUGGGCGGAAGCCUGAUGCAGCAACGCCGCGUGCGGGAUGACGGCCUUCGGGUUGUAAACCGCUUUCGCCUGUGACGAAGCGUGAGUGACGGUAAUGGGUAAAGAAGCACCGGCUAACUACGUG
rnacentral:rRNA from 1 species